rnacentral:rRNA from 1 species
AGAGUUUGAUUCUGGCUCAGAACGAACGCUGGUGGCGUGUCUUAUACAUGCAAGUCGAGCGAGGCAGCAAUGCCGAGCGGCGAACGGGUGAGUAACGCGUAAGCAAUCUGCCCCAUAUCAGGAAAUACCCGUGCCAACGCGCGGUUAAUGUCCAGGAGAGUGGCCCUCUGCAUGGAGGGUUGACUAGAGAUUUAUCGGUAUGGGAUGAGCUUGCGUCCGAUUAGCUAGUUGGCGGGGCAACGGCCCACCAAGGCGACGAUCGGUAGCCGGCCUGAGAGGGUGAUCGGCCACAUUGGGACUGAGAUACGGCCCAGACUCCUACGGGAGGCAGCAGUAGGGAAUAUUGCACAAUGGGGGAAACCCUGAUGCAGCAACGCCACGUGUGGGAAGAAGCAUUUCGGUGUGUAAACCACUGUCAUGAGGGAAUAAGGCCCGCCUUCGGACGGGAUUGAAUGUACCUUGAGAGGAAGCACCGGCAAACUUCGUGCCAGCCGCUGC